rnacentral:rRNA from 1 species
GACGAACGCUGGCGGCGCGCCUAACACAUGCAAGUCGAACGGAGCUGCGAGAAGCUUGCUUUUCUUAGCUUAGUGGCGAACGGGUGAGUAACGCGUGAGUAACCUGCCCUGGAGUGGGGGACAACAGUUGGAAACGACUGCUAAUACCGCAUAAGCCCACGAUCCGGCAUCGGCUUGAGGGAAAAGGAUUUAUUCGCUUCAGGAUGGACUCGCGUCCAAUUAGCUAGUUGGUGAGGUAACGGCCCACCAAGGCGACGAUUGGUAGCCGGACUGAGGGGUUGAACGGCCACAGUGGGACUGAGACACGGCCCAGACUCCUACGGGAGGGAGGAGUGGGGGAUAUUGCACAAUGGGGGAAACCCUGAUGCAGCGACGCCGGGUGGAGGAAGAAGGUGUUCGGAUUGUAAACUCCUGUCGUUAGGGACGAUAAUGACGGUACCUAACAAGAAAGCACCGGCUAACUACGUG